UCUAAAAGCCACGGUCUUGUAAUCCGGAGAUCGAAGGUUAAAAUCCUUCCUAGCGC
rnacentral:tRNA from 1 species